rnacentral:rRNA from 1 species
AUAUCAAUAAGCGGAGGAAAAGAAACCAACAGGGAUUGCCCUAGUAACGGCGAGUGAAGCGGCAACAGCUCAAAUUUGAAAUCUGGCUCUCGGGCCCGAGUUGUAAUUUGUAGAGGAUACUUUUGAUGCGGUGCCUUCCGAGUUCCCUGGAACGGGACGCCAUAGAGGGUGAGAGCCCCGUCUGGUUGGAUGCCAAAUCUCUGUAAAGUCCCUUCAACGAGUCGAGUAGUUUGGGAAUGCUGCUCUAAAUGGGAGGUAUAUGUCUUCUAAAGCUAAAUACCGGCCAGAGACCGAUAGCGCACAAGUAGAGUGAUCGAAAGAUGAAAAGCACUUUGAAAAGAGAGUUAAAAAGUACGUGAAAUUGUUGAAAGGGAAGCGUUUAUGACCAGACUUGGGCUUGGUUAAUCAUCUGGGGUUCUCCCCAGUGCACUUUUCCAGUCCAGGCCAGCAUCAGUUUUCCCCGGGGGAUAAAGGCGGCGGGAAUGUGGCUCUCUUCAGGGAGUGUUAUAGCCCACCGUGUAAUACCCUGGGGGGGACUGAGGUUCGCGCAUCUGCAAGGAUGCUGGCGUAAUGGUCAUCAACG